UGGGGAAUAUUGGACAAUGGGCGAAAGCCUGAUCCAGCCAUGCCGCGUGUGUGAAGAAGGUCUUCGGAUUGUAAAGCACUUUAAGUUGGGAGGAAGGGCAGUUACCUAAUACGUAUCUGUUUUGACGUUACCGACAGAAUAAGCACCGGCUAACUCUGUGCCAGCAGCCGCGGUAAUACAGAGGGUGCAAGCGUUAAUCGGAAUUACUGGGCGUAAAGCGCGCGUAGGUGGUUUGUUAAGUUGGAUGUGAAAUCCCCGGGCUCAACCUGGGAACUGCAUUCAAAACUGACAAGCUAGAGUAUGGUAGAGGGUGGUGGAAUUUCCUGUGUAGCGGUGAAAUGCGUAGAUAUAGGAAGGAACACCAGUGGCGAAGGCGACCACCUGGACUGAUACUGACACUGAGGUGCGAAAGCGUGGGGAGCAAACAGGAUUAGAUACCCAAGUAGUCCCUGAGCGGGCUGGCAAGGCGCAU
rnacentral:rRNA from 1 species